GUCCGUGACGGCGAUGGAUCCCGCCUGGCCGAUGCCGAACUGCCGAUCUGGCUGAUGGUUCCUGCCCCGUC
rnacentral:ncRNA from 10 species